UGGGGAAUAUUGCACAAUGGAGGGAACUCUGAUGCAGCGACGCCGCGUGAGCGAUGAAGGACUUCGUUUCGUAAAACUCUGUUCUAUGGGAAGAAAAGGACUGUACCAUAGGAGAAAGCUCCGGCUAAAUACGUGCCAGCAGCCGCGGUAAUACGUAUGGAGCGAGCGUUGUCCGGAAUUAUUGGGCGUAAAGGGUGCGCAGGCGGCUUUACAAGUUGGAUGUGAAAUAUUGUGGCUCAACCACAAACGUGCAUCCAAAACUGCAAAGCUUGAGUUAAGGAGAGGUAAGUGGAAUUCCUGGUGUAGCGGUGGAAUGCGUAGAUAUCAGGAGGAAUACCGGUGGCGAAGGCGACUUACUGGACUUAAACUGACGCUCAGGCACGAAAGCGUGGGGAGCAAACAGG
rnacentral:rRNA from 1 species